UGGAUAGGUAUUUCACCUAUCAGCUAACCAACCACAUAUUGUUAUAGCCUGGUGAGGAGGAGGAGCUCUGCAGAACGUGUCCUGAAGUAGUUUAGCCGUGCUCUGUAGAGUUGCUAUUUUCUCAAUGAACUUGUGACAUUCCUGGAUUACUCAUUAUAUUAAUGAAGUCUGAUUCAAAUCAACAAAUACGAUCAUUUGUUUUAUUAAAUUAAAAAAGGUUAUGGGUCCAAGACUGUACAUAUCUGGUGGCUGUGUUGGCAAAAAUCACUACAUAUCCCAUCGUGCCAAGUAGGGAGAUGCUGCCCGUUGUCACAGUUCCAAGACCAGUCAGAAACGUCCAGCUAAACCCCUACGUCAAUUACGUCGGUGGAUCUUUAAACUGAUCUUAGGUCUGUGUUAAGUAGCAAAAAAACAACAACAGAUGGCUCGAACCAGUCAUGACGAUUCAACAAAACAAUAAAUCCUUUUCAACUUUCUUUGUCUCUGAACUUACAAUAAAUAGCCCCAAGUCAUUAUAUAUUUAAUUUGGCUAUUUGCCUCAUGACUCCUGCAUACUUUGUUGACUACAAACUUUCUUUACCCAAUUGUGGGACAGGCUGUUUGUUCCCACACUCAGGACUCGGACUCUCUAUUGGUUACACAGACUUUUGGCCUCCCAUCCUAUUCUAACCACCUCUCGCCAGUUUCGGUAUUCAUGUUACCUGAUGAAAUUGCUGUACAAUAUGAUCUUGUUGCCAUCUGAUGCACAUUCAGAUGUCAUAAAUCAGCGCUGCAGAGCUCUCCCUGUCCUCUGCCGUGCCUUGAUUGUAUUACUGCUGAUGAUAUCUGGAAAUGUGCAUGUACAGCCUGGCCCUCUACUGUUGAUGAUAUCUGGAAAUGUGCAUGUACAGCCUGGCCCCUCUACUGUUGCUAGACACAAUUGGGCUCUGAUACCUGCUUCACUGAUUUCUGCUCUCGUAAAAGCCCGGGUUAUCUGCACGUUAACACUAGAAGCCUAUUACCUACAAUGGAUAAAUUGAAAGUGUGGGUUCACAGCUCCAAACCAGAUGUGUUGGUCAUUACUGAGAUUUGGUUAAGGAGUGUUUUGAAUACUGAUGUUAA
ensembl:lncRNA